ACACACCUGUACCCAUGCCGAACACAGAAGUUAAGCAUCUUAGCGCCAAAUGUAGUACAUUGUGCAAGACUAGGACAUUGCCAGGC
rnacentral:rRNA from 1 species